AGAGAGAGAGAGAGAGGCAGAGACACAGGCAGAGGGAGAAGCAGGCUCCAUGCACCGGGAGCCCGACGUGGGACUCGAUCCCGGGCCUCCAGAAUCGCGCCCUGGGCCAAAGGCAGACGCCAUACCACUGCGCCACCCAGGGAUCCCUCGAUCUAUCUUUUUAAAAAAAUAUAAGAGAGAGCACAAGCAAGCACAAGCAGUGGAGAGAGAGGGAGAAUCAGACUCCCCACUGAGCAGGGAGCUCAAUCCCAGGAUCCUGAGAUCAUGACCUGAACUGAAGAGUAAGAUUAACAAAAUGAGUAGGAAAGCCUGCACAGUGCUGAGGCUGUUGCUUCAAUGUCCGCAUCCAUCCUGGUCCCCACUGCAGUUUGGCACCAUCUGGUGGUGAUUAUCCAUUCCAGCUUACACAUUGUUGGGAGCAACUCUGUCUGUAGCUGAUUGGACUUCAGGAAAGCAUCAAUGAUUCCAGGAAAUUCCUGGCUCCAGCAUGCCAGUUUUCUGGGCCCACUUUGGGAAUAUUGAGUUGGGAGAUUACUGAACACCUCCCCUCUGGGUUUCGUGUUAUUUUUCUGCUUGGCUCCCCCCACUCUACCUGUCCCAGAUACCAACCUCAGAAGAUAAAAGCUUUAGUCUCCAUCCUUCCUUUGUUCUACCUGUGGGGUUCUGUUGGUAGAUGGAAGCAAAUUUUCCAUUCCAUAAUCUCAGAAUUCAUGAGAUUUGGGGUAUAUUUUUACAAGGUUUUAUUUAGUUGUAUAUUUUGUUCUCUCCUUCCAUUAUAAAAAGAGCUACAAAAAGCUUGAGGAUUUUUUUGUUUGUUUGUUUUAUUCAUAGCCGUAUCACCAAUAAGUAGGACUUCUUAGCAUGCAGGCACCCAUAUAUAUUCACUGAGUAAAGUUAAUGGAUGGAUAUUGAAACCUUGGA